rnacentral:lncRNA from 1 species
UUGUUUCCAUCAUUGUUUCCACCAUUGUUGCCAUCAUUGUUACUAUUACCAUUGCUGUUGUUGUUGUCAUUGUUUUCACCGUUGUUGUUGUUGUUGUUAUUGUUUUCUUGUUGUGGCGAUGGUGGAGGUUGUGAGUCUGAAGAAGGAGGUGGAGGAGAGGAUGAGGAAUUAUCUGGAGGAGGAGGAGCUGGUGGUGAAGAUGAAGGAGAGGAGGAGGAGGAGGAGUCAGGAGACGGAGGAGAUUGCUGUUGAGUGUUGUCGGGGGAGGAAGGAGAUGGAGGUGUAGGAGACGGCGGUGAAUUCUCCGGGGACUGCCCCUCCGCCAUAAUCUCUUUUGGGUGUUUUUUCUUCUUCUUCUUUUAUUUAUUUUCCUGAAGCUCUCUCC